CUUAGCAGCACGUAAAUAUUGGCGUUAAGAUUCUAAAAUUAUCUCCAGUAUUAACUGUGCUGCUGAAGUAAGGUUGGCCAUACUCUACAAUUGUAUUUUUUACAAUUUUAGUGAUAAUAUGUUUUCAGUAUUGAUAAUAUUAUGAUUAAUGUGAUUCUGUAAAAAUAUUAGUAACUUUCUAUAUGCAUUAGGUCUAUUAAAAUAGUAAACAAUGGUCCCUUGGUAUCCAUGAGGGAUUGGUUCCAGGACCCCUGUGAAUACCAAAAUCUGCAGAUGCUCAAUUCCUUUAUAUACAAUGAUGUAAUAUUUUGUAUAUAACCUGUGCAUAUUCCCAUAUAUACUUAAAGUCAUCUCUAUAUUACUUAAAAUACCUCAUACAAUGUAAAUGUUAUAUAGUUUUAUUGUUUAGGAAAUGACAAGAAAAAUUCAAUACAGAUGCAUUUCUUCCCCAAAUAUUUUUGAUCCGUAGUUGGUUGAGUCUACCAAUGCAGAACCCACAGAGGAGGAGAACUGGCUAUAAUUGCAAUUUAAUAAUUGUGUUAAAUGCCAUAAAGAGUUUCCUGAGGGCUAAGGGUGUGGCUUGGAGGUAGAACACAUACCUAGCAUAUUCAUGGCCCUGGGUUUGAUCCCUAGUACUGGAAAAAAAGAAGUUUCUCAAAAGAUUUUAAGCAGUGCUGGUGUGGUGGAAUGCACCUGUAAUCCCAGCAGCUCAGGAGACUGGAGGAUCACAAGUUCAAAGCCAGCCUCACCAACUUAGUGAGGCCUUAGUAACUUAAUGAGAACCUAUCUCUAAAUAAAAUAUUUUUAAAAGGCUAGGAAUGUGACUCAGUGCUUAAGCAUCCCUGAUACCCAAAAAAAAGGUUUGGGCAGCAUCAGAAGAAUGUUUUUAAUGGACAUUUAUAAUCAAUUUAAAUAUUCAGAUUUUUACUUAAGUUAGACCAAGUAUUGUUUUUCCUUUGAUUAAAAAUUACUUUAGGGUCUGGGGAGAUAGCUCAGCUGGUAGAGUGCUUGUCUCGCAAGCACAAAGCCCUGAGUUCGAUCCCCAGUACCACAAAAAAAUAAAAUAAAAUAAAAUAAAAAUUACUUUAGAUAUAUGCUUAUCUCACAGAUAAAGUAUGAAAUUUAUUGGGCUGAGGAUCUAGUUCAGGGCCCUCAAGGCCCAGGGUUCAAUCUUACUUAGCAUACUCAAGGCCCAGGGUUCAAUCCCCAGUACCAAAUACACACACACACACACAUAUAUACACUCCUAAAAUAAUUUUUAGUAAUGCUUCUAAAUAUUUCAUUAUUAAUGAAGGGGGAACAACAUCAAAAAUGUAAACUAAAUUCCUGAACAUGUUUAAAAUGCACUAAUCAUAACUUGAAAGGUAGGAACAACCUUAUAGAUGACCAACCUAUUCAUUGGGUAGCUGAGGAAACACACUAAUUAGCAGCAGAUGACAAAUCAGAAUUCUAAUCCUAUGUCUUUAUAAUAAUCUAUUUUUUUCUUGUUUUUACUAAAAUGUUUUCUUAAAUCCUUAGCUGAAGAUUUUUGACGAGUUGAAAAUGUGAAGAUCUUCUGUACAUUUUUAGAUCCAAUAUUUAACUUCAGAGUGGAUAUUACUAUACCUUCCUCAUGGAAAAUAUGUUAUUCUAAGUGUUGUUUUUCACUGAAUAGUAACAAAAGAGAAAAAUUAUUGUCCUAAAUUUUUGAGAUAGAUUUGGCAAUAGUACCCUUAUUUCUAAUCAAAGAAAACAAGUAUUCAGAUUGCCUGCAGAUAUGAUGAUUUGAAGAAAAAAAAGAAAAAACAGCCUGUAAGAAAUAAUUGGAAGAAAACAUAGGCUUAAAUAAUACAAGUUUAUCCUAAACGAUUUAGGAAGUCUGUGACUCUUAGCAAAUCAGGUGUGAAUUUUGAUACCACAGCUGCCCCAUCCCCCACAAAAGGUGAGAACUGACUAAACCACAGAUACUUAGGCCAUGUGGAGAAGGAACCAAGAUUGGAUGCAGAAAACAGAAGUCUAUGUAGAGCAGAGGGUCUUAUAACAUUCACUUUAGUAGAGGGCAAGAACUGCCACAUGAAAUGAUCCCCUCAGCAUAAAACUGUCCUAGUUACAUGUUACUUACAUGCCUGGUCUGCUGCCUUCUACCUUUGCAUGACUCCUAAAUCAUGGAGUGGUCUGCCUGCACUGCAGUACUCUCCUGUGAUGGUAGACAGCAACAGCAAGUCACAGCUCCCAGUCAGCCACGUGAUCGUAAGGGUAAACAGGAUACCAUAUUCCAUAAUGUAAUGAAUGUAAUCAAUAAAUUAUGAGCCAUUCAAUACUUCAUUAUGAAUUAAGUUUUGUAGAUAAUUUUGUUCAAUUAUAAGCUAAUGUAAGUAUUCUGAGCACACUUAAGAUAAACAGGGCUAAGCUUUGAUAUUUGGUAGGUUGGGUGUGUUAAAUGCAUUUUCAAUUUAGAUGGGUUUAUCAAGACAUACCCCAUCAAGUUUAGAAGCUACUGUACUGUAUGCUUAAGAUUAUCAUGUGGGUAGUUCUCAUGCUAAAUCUUAACACAAAAAUGAUGACAUAGGAAGUUUCACCAUACUGAAAUUGGUGAGGUCAUCCAUACAAUUAUAUUUUGUGUUCUUCUAAAUUAUAUAAGUAAUUUAUGCUUAUUUUAGAAAAUUCAGAAAACACAGGACAGGGGCUGGGAUUGUAGCUCAGUGGUAGAGUGCUUGCCUAGCACUGGGUUUGAUCCUCAGCACCACAUAUAAAUAAAUAAAUUAAAGGUAUUGUGUCCAUCUACAACUAAAAAAAUUUUUUUAAUUUUAAAAAAGAAACCAUAGGGGGAGAAAGUUCCCUAUAAUCACAUCAGCAAGAAAUAACCAUUACUAUUAUUUUGGUCUGUUUCUUCCAAUCUCAUGUGUAUGUGUUAUGUGCCUGUGCACACACUUUUAGGAAAACUGGUUGCAUAAUACUAUUUUGGUAUUAAUUUUUACACUUAUCAACAUGAACUUCCACUAUUGUUAUAUAUUGUUCAAAAGCAUGAUAAU